rnacentral:rRNA from 1 species
AUUGAACGCUGGCGGCAGGCUUAACACAUGCAAGUCGAGCGGAGAUGAGGUGCUUGCACCUUAUCUUAGCGGCGGACGGGUGAGUAAUGCUUAGGAAUCUGCCUAUUAGUGGGGGACAACAUUCCGAAAGGAAUGCUAAUACCGCAUACGCCCUACGGGGGAAAGCAGGGGAUCUUCGGACCUUGCGCUAAUAGAUGAGCCUAAGUCGGAUUAGCUAGUUGGUGGGCUAAAGGCCUACCAAGGCGACGAUCUGUAGCGGGUCUGAGAGGAUGAUCCGCAACGCUGGAACUGAGACACGGCCCAGACCCCUACGGGAGGCAGAAGUGGGGAAUAUUGGACAAUUGGCGGAAGCCUGAUCCAGCCAUGCCGCGUGUGUGAAGAAGGCCUUUUGGUUGUAAAGCACUUUAAGCGAGGAGGAGGCUACUUGGAUUAAUACUCUAGGAUAGUGGACGUUACUCGCAGAAUAAGCACCGGCUAACUCUGUGCCAGCCGCCGCCGUAACAC